GAUUAACGCUGGCGGCGUGCAUAACACAUGCAAGUCGAACGAUGAAACUUAACUGAUUUCUUCGGAAUGAUUUUAAGUGGCGUAGUGGCGGACGGGUGAGUAACGCGUGAGUAGCCUGCCUUGGCGAAGGGGAUAGCCUUUGGAAACGAAGAAUAAUACCCUAUGAUAUGAUAAUAUAUCAUGAUAUUAUCAUCAAAGAUUUAUCGCUCUAAGAUGGACUUGCGUCUGAAUAGUGAGUUGGUGCGGUAACAGCUCACCAAGGCAGCGAUCAGUAGCCGGCGUGAGAGAGGGUACGGCCACAUUGGGACUGAGACACGGCCCAGUCUCCUACGGGAGGCAGCAGUGGGGAAUUGUGCACAAGGGUGAAACCCUGAUGCAGCGAGGCCGCGUGAUUUAGAAGGCCUUCGGGUUGUAAAAAUCUUUUGUAUGGGAAGAAAAUGACAGUACCAAACGAAUAAGGACCGGCUAAUUACGUG
rnacentral:rRNA from 1 species